rnacentral:rRNA from 1 species
GAUGAACGCUAGCGACAGGCUUAACACAUGCAAGUCGAGGGGCAGCACAGGUAGCAAUACCGGGUGGCGACCGGCGCACGGGUGAGUAACGCGUAUGCAACUUACCUAUCAGAGGGGGAUAACCCGGCGAAAGUCGGACUAAUACCGCAUGAAGCAGGGGUCCCGCAUGGGGAUAUUUGCUAAAGAUUCAUCGCUGAUAGAUAGGCAUGCGUUCCAUUAGGCAGUUGGCGGGGUAACGGCCCACCAAACCGACGAUGGAUAGGGGUUCUGAGAGGAAGGUCCCCCACAUUGGUACUGAGACACGGACCAAACUCCUACGGGAGGCAGCAGUGAGGAAUAGUGGUCAAUGGCCGAGAGGCUGAACCAGCCAAGUCGCGUGAGGGAGGAAGGUUCUAUGGAUCGUAAACCUCUUUUAUAAGGGAAGAAAGUGCGGGACGUGUCCCGUUUUGUAUGUACCUUAUGAAUAAGGAUCGGCUAACUCCGUG